rnacentral:rRNA from 1 species
UACGGGGGGAGCAAGCGUUGUUCGGAUUUACUGGGCGUAAAGGGCGCGUAGGCGGCGCAACAAGUCACUUGUGAAAUCUCCGGGCUUAACUCGGAGCGGCCAAGUGAUACUGUCGUGCUAGAGUGCAGAAGGGGCGACUGGAAUUCUCGGUGUAGCGGUGAAAUGCGUAGAUAUCGAGAGGAACACCUGUGGCGAAGGCGGGUCGCUGGGCUGACACUGACGCUGAGGCGCGAAAGCGUGGGGAGCGAACAGG